rnacentral:rRNA from 1 species
CCUACGGGAGUCAGCAGUGGGGAAUAUUGCACAAUGGGGGAAACCCUGAUGCAGCGACGCCGCGUGAGUGAAGAAGUAAUUCGUUAUGUAAAGCUCUAUCAGCAGGGAAGAAAAUGACGGUACCUGAGUAAGAAGCCCCGGCUAACUACGUGCCAGCAGCCGCGGUAAUACGUAGGGGGCAAGCGUUAUCCGGAUUUACUGGGUGGAAAGGGAGCGUAGACGGCAGUGCAAGUCUGGAGUGAAAGGCGGGGGCUCAACCCCCGGACUGCUCUGGAAACUGUACGGCUGGAGUGCAGGAGAGGUAAGUGGAAUUCCGAGUGUAGCGGUGAAAUGCGUAGAUAUUAGGAGGAACACCAGUGGCGAAGGCGGCUUACUGGACUGUAACUGACGUUGAGGCUCGAAAGCGUGGGGAGCAAACAGGAUUAGAUACCCCAGUAGUC